rnacentral:rRNA from 1 species
AUUGAACGCUGGCGGCAUGCUUUACACAUGCAAGUCGAACGGUAACAGGUUAAGCUGACGAGUGGCGAACGGGUGAGUAAUGCAUCGGAACGUGCCCGAUCGUGGGGGAUAACGCAGCGAAAGCUGCGCUAAUACCGCAUACGAUCUGAGGAUGAAAGCGGGGGACCGUAAGGCCUCGCGCGAUCGGAGCGGCCGAUGUCAGAUUAGGUAGUUGGGGGGGUAAAGGCUCACCAAGCCAACGAUCUGUAGCUGGUCUGAGAGGACGACCAGCCACACUGGGACUGAGACACGGCCCAAACUCCUACGGGAGGCAGCAGUGGGGAAUUUUGGACAAUGGGCGAAAGCCUGAUCCAGCAAUGCCGCGUGCAGGAAGAAGGCCUUCGGGUUGUAAACUGCUUUUGUACGGAGCGAAAAGGUUCUCUCUAAUACAGAGGGCUCAUGACGGUACCGUAAGAAUAAGCACCGGCUAACUACGUGCCAGCAGCCGCGGUAAUAC